CAGAGGUGGAGGAGAAGGGAGAAAAAGGGGAGGAGAAAAGGGGGUUGCAAGAGGGAGCAGAGAUUCCUAGCAUUUGAGAGCUGAAAGGGGAAUCCACAGAUCCCGUGCAACCCAUCAGGAAUGGAGGCUCGGAGUGAUCAAGCAACCUGCCAAAGGUCACACAGCCAAACUGAUCUCAGGAAAGGAAGAUGAGCUACCACGGAAUCCGUCCUUGCCAGGAAAAGUGGAAUGUCGACUUGGUACGCACAUAAUUCAAUUUACCCAGAAGUCGAGAAAAAGCCAGGCACUGGAGGAAUGGCUGAUACUGUUCUUGACUUUGGCAAAGACAAGGUAUUUGUGAAGUCAGACGCAUGUGGACUGCUCAAUAAUCCAAAAAGGUUGUUUUUAUUAACCAUUGAUAGCAGAGGGAAAAGCUGAGCGGGAUCUGCAGCAAAUGAGAGAUGAAGUCACAGCUGAAAGGAGCGGGGAGCGGCUGCGACUCUGCGCCGCCUGGUGGCUGGAUUGCAGAAUGCAGGCUCAUCGUGGCGGGAUCUUUUCCCCAAAGAAGCCAGAAAUAAAAUGGGAAAGGAAGCAGUCCGCGAAAUACCUAUUAUGCAAACAUUUUUGGCUGAUUAAAUAAUGUUGUAAGUAAUAAAAAAUUGAAGACAAAAAAAGAAAUUGUAUGUUGAAAUGUCAAAGGUGGACAA